rnacentral:rRNA from 1 species
ACGAACGCUGGCGGCGUGCCUAAUACAUGCAAGUCGAGCGGAAUGAUGAUGAAGCUUGCUUCUUCUGAUUUUAGCGGCGGACGGGUGAGUAACACGUGGGCAACCUACCUUGUAGAUUGGGAUAACUCCGGGAAACCGGGGCUAAUACCGAAUAAUCCAUUUUGCUUCAUGGCGAGAUGUUGAAAGACGGUUUCGGCUGUCACUACAAGAUGGGCCCGCGGCGCAUUAGCUAGUUGGUAGGGUAAUGGCCUACCAAGGCGACGAUGCGUAGCCGACCUGAGAGGGUGAUCGGCCACACUGGGACUGAGACACGGCCCAGACUCCUACGGGAGGCAGCAGUAGGGAAUCUUCCACAAUGGACGAAAGUCUGAUGGAGCAACGCCGCGUGAGUGAAGAAGGUUUUCGGAUCGUAAAACUCUGUUGUAAGGGAAGAACACGUACGAGAGUAACUGCUCGUACCUUGACGGUACCUUAUUAGAAAGCCACGGCUAACUACGUG